GAGGUUUCUCUCUUUCUAAACCUCCAUGGACGACCAAAAAAAAACCCAGCAAAUUAGUUUCUCUCUUCAUCAGCCUCAACCACAGUCGAAGCCCGGAGCCCCACUGACUCCUACGACGACUCCGGCUCCCUACUCCCUUGGAUACCUACAUGCUCAGCUUCCUCAUGAACAAUAUCAAGGUUGGAUUGGAUAAUUGCAGACCCAUCGAGCAUGUCGAGGAGGAGGAUCUCUUAAUCGUCGGAGUCGUUUGGUAUCUACUUGCAGACUCGUCAACCCGAAACCAUGACCCGCUUCAUCUCUUUGGAGAUGGCGGCCAAACACCGUCAGUGACUUGAUGACGACUGUGGCGGCGGAUACCACGGAUGGGACGACGUCACAAUGAAAACCUCAGCCUUACCAGAACCUCGGCGGCUUUCUCGGGAGAGAAAGAAAUUCUGGCGUCAGGCAUGCCUCUGGUGACGCGAACAUGAAUGGGGAGAGACUAUUUGGGAAGAUGGAGAGAGAUCUCUUUUAAGGCACGUGACUUGCACAUGAGGUGGUGGAAGUGGACAUGACUUGCAUGUGCCUUGAAUAAGCUCUCAGUUAAGUCACCUAAUUAACCUGAGCUUGUUCCUGUAUACCAGAGGGCUCUUCUGGCUACGAUUGUCAACUUCUGCCACUUGUAUUCUCAAAUCUCAAGACUUCAUUAAGUGAAAUCAGGUGCAUGGUCUGUGUUCUCGGUUAAAUUUGAAGAAAUAUAUACAAGUGUGUGAUUGUUGAAA